rnacentral:rRNA from 1 species
UACGUAGGGUGCGAGCGUUGUCCGGAAUUACUGGGCGUAAAGAGUUCGUAGGCGGUUUGUCGCGUCGUUCGUGAAAACUUGGGGCUCAACCCUGAGCCUGCUUCCGAUACGGGCAGACUAGAGGUAUGCAGGGGAGAAUGGAAUUCCUGGUGUAGCGGUGAAAUGCGCAGAUAUCAGGAGGAACACCAGUGGCGAAGGCGGUUCUCUGGGCAUUACCUGACGCUGAGGAGCGAAAGUGUGGGGAGCGAACAGG